GAGUCGUAACAAGGUUUCCGUAGGUGAACCUGCGGAAGGAUCAUUAUUGAAUGAACUUGGCGUGGUUGUUGCUGGUCCUCUUGGGGGCAUGUGCACACCCGUCAUCUUUAUCUUUCCACCUGUGCACAUUUUGUAGGUCUAAAAUUUUUCCGAGGCAACUCGUUUAGAGGGGAUUGGUCUGUAGUCAUCAUCUGUCGGGCUUUCCCCUUUGGAUUUUUCCAGGCCUAUGUUUUUCACAUACACCAUAAAAUGUAAUAGAAUGUCAUAUUGGGCUUUGUUGCCUAUAAACUAUAUACAA
rnacentral:misc_RNA from 1 species